rnacentral:rRNA from 1 species
UCUGGUUGAUCCUGCCAGUAGGUUAUGCUUGACUUGGAGAUUAAGCCAUGCAUGUCUAAGUAUAGUUAUAUACAGCGAAACUGCGAAUGGCUCAUUAAAUCAGUUAUAAUCUACUUGAUGUUUUUCUUACAUGGAUAACCGUGGGAGACUAUGGCUAAUACAUGCGUAAACCUUCGGGUGUAUUUAUUAGUUUCAAAUCCGCAAUAUUUGAGGAAUCAUAAUAACUGAUCGAAGCGAAUUCAUUCGCUAAAUCAUUCGAGUUUCUGCCCUAUCAGCCAGUUGGUAGUGUAUUGGACUACCAAAGCAGUAACGGGUAGCGGAGAAUUGGGGUUCGAUUCCGGAGAGGGAGCUUGAGAAAUGGCUACCAUUUCUAUGGAAGGCAGCAGGCGCGCAAAUUACCCAAUCCUGACUCAGGGAGGUAGUUAAUAGAAAUAACAGGCUCGCACCAUCGGUGCUGAGUAUGUAAUGAGUGCUAUGUAAAAAAAGCUCGAAUCUAUUGGAGGGCAAGUCUGGU